AUUGAACGCUGGCGGCAGGCCUUACACAUGCAAGUCGAACGAGUGGCGGACGGGUGAGUAAUGUCUGGGAACCUGCCUGAUGGAGGGGGAUAACUACUGGACACGGUAGCUAAUACCGCAUACCAUCAGAUGUGCCCAGAUGGGAUUAGCUAGUUGGUGGGGUAAAGGCUCACCAAGGCGACGAUCCCUAGCUGGUCUGAGAGGAUGACCAGCCACACUGGAACUGAGACACGGUCCAGACUCCUACGGGAGGCAGCAGUGGGGAAUAUUGCACAAUGGGCGAAAGCCUGAUGCAGCCAUGCCGCGUGUAUGAAGAAGGCCUUCGGGUUGUAAAGUACUUUCGGCGGGGAGGCGGUACCCGCAGAAGAAGCACCGGCUAACUACGUGCCAGCAGCCGCGGUAAUAC
rnacentral:rRNA from 1 species